rnacentral:rRNA from 1 species
CCCUUAGAUGUUCUGGGCUGCACGCGCGCUACACUGAUGCGCUCAACGAGUUUACGACCUUGCCCGGAAGGGUUGGGUAAUCUUUUUAAAACGCAUCGUGAUGGGGAUAGAUUAUUGCAAUUAUUAAUCUUUAACGAGGAAUUCCUAGUAAGCGCAAGUCAUCAGCUUGCGUUGAUUACGUCCCUGCCCUUUGUACACACCGCCCGUCGCUACUACCGAUUGGAUGGCUUAGUGAGACCCUCGGACCGAUAGGCUGUCGCUGCAGCAAUGUGGCGACUGGCCCGUCUGGGAAGAAGGUCAAACUUGACUGUCUAGAGGAAGUAAAAGUCGUAACA